rnacentral:rRNA from 1 species
ACCGGGGGCGACAGCAAUAUGAAGGUCAGGCUGAAGACCUUACCGGAUUAGCUGAGAGGUGGUGCAUGGCCGUCGUCAGUUCGUACUGUGAAGCAUCCUGUUAAGUCAGGCAACGAGCGAGACCCACGUCCACAGUUGCCAGCAUACCCUCCGGGGUGAUGGGUACACUGUGGAGACCGCCGCUGCUAAAGCGGAGGAAGGAAUGGGCAACGGUAGGUCAGUAUGCCCCGAAUCUCCCGGGCUACACGCGGGCUACAAUGGUUGGUACAAUGGGCAUCUACCCCGAAAGGGGAAGGAAAUCUCUUAAAGCCAAUCGUAGUUCGGAUUGAGGGCUGCAACUCGCCCUCAUGAAGCUGGAAUCCGUAGUAAUCGCGUUUCAACAGAACGCGGUGAAUACGUCCCUGCUCCUU